UCCGCUGUUCCAGGUGUCAACUUCACAUCGGCGAGACCAAGCGCAGGCUCAGCGAUCGUUUCGCUGAACACCUCCGCUCAGUCCGAAAAACCUACCUGAUCUCCCGGUUGCUGAACACUUUAACUCCCCCUCC